rnacentral:pre_miRNA from 1 species
UUUUCCUAUGUUUUUCAAUGAAUGUGACUCCGCCUUAAAAACAGGACACUUUACCGUAGUUUUUUUUUUAAUAUGGCUGCGAUGAGUCACAUUUAUUGAGAAACAUAGGAA